AAGUUGAGCUUGAACCAAGCAGCAAAGACAGAAAUGGAAUGAGGAUCAGAAACAUCAAGGAGUGAGAAAUGGAUGAAAUCAGAAAGGCCAUGGCUCCUCAGCAACUCCAUAGCUUCCAACCCUUUCUUGGCAUCUCUUGCUUAUUCCUAAUUCUCUACCAGGGAUGCCUCUUGAGAAGGUUAUUUAUGUAUGUUUGCAUAUGGCUAGUGGGCUAAUAGCUUCUUAUAUCAAGAUGAAGGGUGGCGCUGAAUAUAUGCAACGUGUGUGUAUGCACAAGACUUCUAAAUAUUAUUAAUGUAUCAUUAUUUUAUCUUGUCAUCAAAAGAAUAUCUUGAAUAACAUUUAUAUAUUAUGGAUCUUCUAA